rnacentral:snoRNA from 1 species
CCCUUCCAGAUUCCUUGUCCCUCAGAUCUAAAUAUAGGUCUGAGUGGCUAUAUAAAGAGGAAGAGUAUACUAAAGUGCUCUUGGAGUCUUUAAUGACAUAUAAGUUCAAUCAAUG